GUUUGAUCCUGGCUCAGGACGAACGCUGGCGGCGUGCUUAACACAUGCAAGUCGAACGGAAAGGCCCUUCGGAGCACUCGAGUGGCGAACGGGUGAGUAACACGUGGGUGAUCUGCCCUGCACUUUGGGAUAAGCCUGGGAAACUGGGUCUAAUACCGAAUAGGACCGCGCGCUUCAUGGUGUGUGGUGGAAAGCUUUUGCGGUGUGGGAUGGGCCCGCGGCCUAUCAUCUUGUUGGUGGGGUAAUGGCCUACCAAGGCGACGACGGGUAGCCGGCCUGAGAGGGUGACCGGCCACACUGGGACUGAGAUACGGCCCAGACUCCUACGGGAGGCAGCAGUGGGGAAUAUUGCACAAUGGGCGCAAGCCUGAUGCAGCGACGCCGCGUGAGGGAUGACGGCCUUCGGGUUGUAAACCUCUUUCACCAGGGACGAAGCGCAAGUGACGGUACCUGGAGAAGAAGCACCGGCCAACUACGUGCCAGCAGCCGCGGUAAUACGUAGGGUGCGAGCGUUGUCCGGAAUUACUGGGCGUAAAGAGCUCGUAGGUGGUUUGUCGCGUUGUUCGUGAAAACUCACAGCUUAACUGUGGGCGUGCGGGCGAUACGGGCAGACUAGAGUACUGCAGGGGAGACUGGAAUUCCUGGUGUAGCGGUGGAAUGCGCAGAUAUCAGGAGGAACACCGGUGGCGAAGGCGGGUCUCUGGGCAGUAACUGACGCUGAGGAGCGAAAGCGUGGGGAGCGAACAGGAUUAGAUACCCUGGUAGUC
rnacentral:rRNA from 1 species